GCCACAGAUGUCCAGACACAAUUCUUGGUUAGUAUUCCUGAACAAGAAUUGCGUUUGGACAAUCAGAAGC
rnacentral:pre_miRNA from 1 species